rfam:Aedes albopictus isolate Foshan contig58171, whole genome shotgun sequence.
GCAGUUAGCCUAGUGGUUAAGGCUAUGGACCGUCAAUCCAGAGACGGCGGGUUCGACUCCCGUUCUAUGCA